UGAGGAGCAUUUGUGAUGAGUCUUUCACGU
rnacentral:piRNA from 1 species